rnacentral:rRNA from 1 species
GAUGAACGCUGGCGGCGUGCCUAAUACAUGCAAGUCGAGCGAACAGACGAGGAGCUUGCUCCUCUGACGUUAGCGGCGGACGGGUGAGUAACACGUGGAUAACCUACCUAUAAGACUGGGAUAACUUCGGGAAACCGGAGCUAAUACCGGAUAAUAUAUUGAACCGCAUGGUUCAAUAGUGAAAGACGGUUUUGCUGUCACUUAUAGAUGGAUCCGCGCCGCAUUAGCUAGUUGGUAAGGUAACGGCUUACCAAGGCAAUGAUGCGUAGCCGACCUGAGAGGGUGAUCGGCCACACUAGAACUGAGACACGGUCCAGACUCCUACGGGAGGCAGCAGUAGGGAAUCUUCCGCAAUGGGCGAAAGCCUGACGGAGCAACGCCGCGUGAGUGAUGAAGGUCUUCGGAUCGUAAAACUCUGUUAUUAGGGAAGAACAAAUGUGUAAGUAACUAUGCACGUCUUGACGGUACCUAAUCAGAAAGCCACGGCUAACUACGUG